GAUGAACGCUGGCGGCGUGCCUUAUACAUGCAAGUCGAGUGGGUUUAGACCCACGGCAAACGGGUGAGUAACACGUAGGUACUUUCCUUGUCACAGGAAUAACCCUCCGAAAGGAGGGCUAAUACCUGAUGUGAUCGCAAGAUUAAAGGGUAUCCGCAGGGAUUACCGGACAAGAAGAGGCCUGCGGCCUAUCAGCUAGUUGGCGGGGUAAAUGCCCACCAAGGCUAUGACGGGUAGCUGGUCUUAUGAGGAUGAUCAGUCACAUGGGCACUGAGACACGGGCCCAACUCCUACGGGAGGCAGCAGUAGGGAAUUUUGCGCAAUGGGCGAAAGCCUGACGCAGCGACGCCGCGUGCGGGAUGAAGGCCUUCGGGUCGUAAACCGCUUUUAUAAGGGACGAACUUUGACGGUACCUUAUGAAUAAGAGAUUGCUAACUCUGUG
rnacentral:rRNA from 1 species